CGCGAUUUGUGCUGGAGCCACAGGCCUGUGAUCGUGCAAAUUGGGGCCCGUCCCUUGGGCCCAACAGGUCUAACGCAAGUCCUCGCGUCCCAGCCUACUGAGUCCUGCAAAUUCAACUCUAAGCCGGUUCGAAACCCAGCCCGCGGUGGUCGGGCGACACCUUCCUGGGCGUGGCCCGCGGGAUACCUCGCGGUCACAGGGGCCCGGGCUGACAGCUGUCACUUCUCAGAAGUCGGCGGGAAGAAGCGCGGAGCUCAAAGGGCUGGGAGGCCGCGGUUAGUAAGGAGCCUGUCCGGCCCUGCUCGGCUCCCGGCUUCUUCUGACAGGCGGAGUGAGUGGGCCGCGGCAUCCUGCAUAGCAACACUGGGCGGCGGAAGUCGUGCCCUCCCCAGGAGGGCAGCGAGGGGGCCCGGAACGUGGGUGACAGCUGCCGCCCGACCGCGCAGGCCCUGGGCGCCUCUGUGGGACCGGGAGCCCCGCGGAGCGGCCGGGGCCCCAGCUUGGCCGGGCAGCGCUAACCUAGGCAGCCUGGACAACCAGAGCUGGGACGCAGACAGAACGCGGGGACCCCUCGCCGCCAAGACCACAAACCAGCCAACCUGAACCCCUGGCACGGGGCUCCUCCGUGACAGGUCCCCCGCCGCCCCCUCAUGGACACGCGAGGCACAGUGUGGCCCCGGCUGCAGCACAGGAGAUGCCCCGGGAGAGGCGGGAAAGACUUUCGGCGGUGCCACACCGCCUUCAAGUCCAAGUCCAGGGACCCACAGCUGCUGCGGAUGCUGGAGAGACAGGGGAGCCCCUCGGUCCUCACCACAGGCCACACCUGGGGAAGCAACUGUGCAACCUUUCGAACUCAGAAAGUGGGCGUCUUUCUGAUAUUUCCUGAUUGGCUGUGGGUCCUUGUUCACAACACUGCUGAUCAUCCUAUCCAAGGUGCACGGUGAUUCUGGAGACUUUACACGUGGAGAUGAGGAAUGUUACUGAAAACUGCAUUAAAGACAACUUUGACUGGAACACGAAGAGAUCACAUCUAAACCUCUUCCAGUAUUAUGUAAAAGAGAGCUCAUGCUAAUGAUGAAACUGAUCAUUUAGCUAAGGAGAUGAAUCUGGAAAGCAUCAGAUUGGGG
rnacentral:lncRNA from 1 species